GGAAUCUUAGACAAUGGGGGAAACCCUGCUCUAGCCAUGCCGCGUGAUCGAUGAAGGCCUUAGGGUUGUAAAGAUCUUUCAGUGGGGAAGAUAAUGACGGUACCCACAGAAGAAGCCCCGGCUAACCCCGUGCCAGCAGCCGCGGUAAUACGGAGGGGGCUAGCGUUGUUCGGAAUUACUGGGCGUAAAGCGCGCGUAGGCGGAUGUUCAAGUCGGGGGUGAAAUCCCGGGGCUCAACCCCGGAACUGCCUCCGAUACUGGACGUCUCGAGGACGGGAGAGGCGAGUGGAAUGCCGAGUGUAGAGGUGAAAUUCGUAGAUAUUCGGCGGAACACCCGUGGCGAAGGCGGCUCGCUGGUCCGUUUCUGACGCUGAGGCGCGAAAGCGUGGGGAGCAAAC
rnacentral:rRNA from 1 species